AUUCAGGUGAAGUUUAUUGAAACAGAAAGGCUGAGGGUGGGAGAGGUUUCAGCUCUUCUCCCUGCCUACCUCUGUUCUAGGAAGAAGGGUUAGGGGAAAAAACGGGGAGAAGUUGUCUGGGGGACCCGAAGGAGGUAACCUUUUUUAUCUAAGAGUUCCUGGAGUCGGGCGCUCGGUUAAACGUAGCUUGGAGCGUGUGGGAGUAGAAGUGGGGGGAAGGAUGAGUGGUUGAGGUGGAUGAUGGGGGAGGUUGAAGGAGUCCCCCUGUCCGUCACUGCUGCGGAUGAAGGGAACUGUGCUCGAGAGAGGAGUAGGCUGAGGCCCCCUUAGGUGGGCAAGGAGGCGAAGGACGGGCUUGCUGAAUCCCAAAAUUUGGAAGAACUGGAGAGACUGCAAUAACUUCCAACUUGUGUUGUGGACACCAAUUUUGCUGCAAGAAAAUAACAUGUGUUGGCAGCGUUCCUGGAAUAAGAGCGGAAUAGUUCUAAUGCACCCUCUAAAACAUUAAGACGGAUGUAUACUCCACAAAUGGAUUCCGCUUCUGAAUACCAAAGAUACUUUAAUUGCUUAUUAACAACAUUUUAAACUCCGUCUGAUGAAUGCUCAUUAUGAAGAUAUUCUCCAAACCAUUUUUCACAGCAACAGAAAGAUGCAAUAAUCGUCCACUGCAGACCAUUAAGACACCAUUAGACAUAGAUUUUCAUAGAGACAUCUCCCUUGGAAAAGAAGGCGGUUAU